GCGGAAGUAGCUCACCUGGUAGAGCGACAGCUUCCCAAGCUGUAGGUAGCCGGUUCGAGUCCGGUCUUCCGCU
rnacentral:tRNA from 3 species